rnacentral:lncRNA from 1 species
GUUGUUUAAUGUGUUAUACACUUUUUAUGCGUUUUUAUAUAUAUUGCUAUAUGUGUACAGUUAUGAGUAAUCGUGAUACUACAUCAUGUUGAUACUGCACUGAUAUUUUGGUAUUCCACAGGUAAUCAUUUCUUAAUAGAAAAACAAAGGAUAUGGGGGAUCCAUUCAUCACAAAAAUUCAGUUCAUGCACAACACAAACAAAAAGCAAAGAAACAGGGCUUUUAUUAAACUGUUUAUAUAAAAAAGAAGAUGUGGUAUUAUGGCCAAUGAGUCAGCUCUCCACAAGAUACCAAAUGACAGAUAUUAACAGCUUUAGGUCACUAUACAGCCUAUAACAAUGAGCAUAGCCUAUACCGCAUAGUUAGCUAUAAAAGGUCCCGAUAUCACAAAUGUAAAACAAAACUAAUUAAUGUACAAAGAACCGAUAUGUAACACAACA